rnacentral:lncRNA from 1 species
AGGCCUCUUAUUUAAAGAGUGCCUGAAGUGAGGAAGCAAACCCCCAAAUCAUCUGGGAUGGUAUGAACUGAACUCUGGACCGCAACAUGAUGGAAAGGAGGAGCUGGGGUCCCAAGGGCAGUCCAGACAACCUGAACCUGUGACACUCACCCUGCCCACACACUCUCAGAGCUGCAGCUUUCACGGGGGUGACAUGAAUGCUUGUAAAUGAGCUUGCUGAAUGGGAGACCAAGAACGAUGAUAUUGAGCUGUUACUACAUGCCAGACAUUUAACCCUUUCAUCCAGGUUAUCUCAAUCAUUCCUUACAGAAAGGCUUUUGAGAUGUCCUUGCAACUGGAGGUGCCAUAUGAUACAGUUCUGCCCAAAGACAAGAAAGUGAAUGUCUGUUGAGGGCUUCCUAUAAGGCCAAUACAUACAGGUGUUCCCAACAACAGGAGACCCACAGGUUUUUGAGAAUGUUAUACCAACAUUACCAGUUAUAUAAACACUGCCAGCUUGAAUCAAAAGGAAUAAAGGAUGAAUGGAGGAAGAUUGUUUUACUCCCCAAAUUCUACAAGCAAGAAACUGGCUGAUGAAACUACUCAGCUGCAAAUGUGUGUUACCCUUCAAGGAAAAGAAGGGAAAACCUUGGCAUCCAGUGAUGAUGAAUCAAUGCUGCUGACAGAUGCAUCGUGUUGGGAUCCCAAUCAUCUAAUUCUUCCAUCAACAGAAAUGACAGGUGCCUAUGUUAAAAAGGGAAGCUGUGAGCAUAAACCUUCAAAGACCUACAG